CAAACUCAAAUUUGUAUGGAGUUAGAACAGGUUCCCUUCGUUUGCCGCUAGGGGCGCUGUUCCAACUCCAUACAAAUUUCAGUUA
rfam:Bombyx mori DNA, contig: Bm_scaf14_contig11112, strain: p50T/Dazao, build 2, whole genome shotgun sequence.